rnacentral:sRNA from 1 species
UCGCCGGCUUGCUGUGGACAGAUGAAGUGGAUGUGGGCGUCGAUGGCCCCGGCCGUCAUGAUCAGGCCCUCGCCCGCGAUCACCUCGGUGCCCGCGCCAAGGAUGAUGUCGACCCCGGGUUGGAUGUCCGGAUUGCCGGCCUUGCCGAUCGCCGCGAUGCGCCCGUCCUUGAUACCGACGUCGGCCUUGACGACGCCCCAGUAGUCCAGGAUCACGACAUUCGUUAUCACCGUAUCGACGACCUCGGCCGCCGGUCGCUGCCCCUGCCCCAUGCCGUCGCGA